GUGUGUGUGUGUGUGUGUGUGUGUAUCAUUACUGAUUUUUCCGUUCAUAUGGCUUUUGAUGAAUGAGUUGUAUUUUCAUUACCGUGAAAGAACCAGUACAACCACUAAGCAAUGGCCGUUGACAAGGAUCCUUUCUCAGCACAAGGUCAGAAAUUGAUUAACAGACUAGUGUUGAGAUGGGGAUUGACCAACAAGCAUGCAUCCAAUUGAGGAAGCUGGCUCCACACCUGUUGCUUCUCCAGUUGCCAAAACUGCAUUUCCAUUCUCAACAGCUUCCAGAUCAACAUCUACAUCACUGGAAGCCCCUGCAUUCUCAGUGCGGACUGGUCGGAGCAGACCCUGCAAUCUCAACAGGUAACUCUGGCUUGAAGGUUGGCUUCUCACAUAUCUGGUGGUUGUUACAACAGUGGCAGAGGGCCGUUCAGAGUCGGCGCGAAG
rnacentral:misc_RNA from 1 species